GAUGAACGCUGACAGAAUGCUUAACACAUGCAAGUCUUUGGCGAAGCUGUGCUUGCACCGCCUAGCCAAGGCGGACGGGUGAGUAACGCGUAAGGAACUUGCCCUGCAGUCAGGGAUAACAGACGGAAACGACUGAUAAGACCUGGUAAAGUCAGGCGGACUCAUGUCCAGCCUGAUGAAAAGAGAUGCUGCAGGAGAGCCUUGCGUCCUAUUAGCUUGUUGGUGGGGUAACGGCCCACCAAGGCGAUGAGAGGUAGCCGGCCUGAGAGGGUGGACGGCCACAAGGGGACUGAGAUACGGCACUUACUCCUACGGGAGGCAGCAGUGGGGAAUAUUGGACAAUGGGGGCAACGCUGAUCCAGCAAUUCUGUGUGCACGAUGAAGGUUUUCGGAUUGUAAAGUGCUUUCAGCAGGGAAGAAAAAAAUGACGGUACCUGCAGAAGAAGCGACGGCUAAAUACGUG
rnacentral:rRNA from 1 species